GCGUGGGUUUGGAUUUAUGGCAGGCCCGUCCUCCUGGGCCUUUCAUAGUGUCCCACGUCAAAGCAAACUAUAGCCCUGAACCAUUCUCUGCCUUUUCCCUAUAGCCGCAGGCACUGAAGUGGGUUACACAGAA
ensembl:snoRNA